rnacentral:misc_RNA from 1 species
UUUUUUAGCUAGUGAAGAAAAACAAAAGCAUGUGUUUUAUACAUGUAUGUUGAAACAAAUCAAUUAGAAAGUUUAUCUAUUCUUUCAAUGUUACACAAAUCUUCAUUAAUAUUGCAGCAUAAUAUGAGUGUAUAUUGGAAACAUUCAGUGUCCAAUUUUUUCAUGACAUAGUCCCAAAAAAUAUGAAAUGAAGCAACCAACUCUUAGGUAUUUUGUUAUUUUUCAAGUUUAAUUCGUUUUUUACAUGUUUGUAUAUUGGUACCAAAGUAUAUUAAUGCAUGUUGAAAACAAAAUGAUAUUCUGUGUUUAUUGUAAACAUUCUGUGUCCAAUUUUUUCAUGACAUAGUCCCAGAAAAUAUGAAUUGAAGCAACCAACUUUUAAGUAUUUUAUUAUUUGUUCAGUUCAAUUAAAAUUCGUUUUUUACGUGUUUGUAUAAUGGUACCAAAGUAUAUUAACGCAUGUUAAAAACAAAAUUAUAUUCUGUGUUCCUAUGUGUUUACAUGUUCCUGUAUAAAACGUUAAAUUUAUUAAUGUUCCGUUUCAAUUCUUGUUACAAUAGAGUUUAUAAUUACAUUUUUCUGACCUCUUUAUCUCUUUAGAUAGUUUGAUUAAAACUUGAUGAC